rnacentral:rRNA from 1 species
UACGUAGGCAGCGAGCGUUGUUCGGAAUUAUUGGGCGUAAAGAGCUCGUAGGCGGCUUGUCGCGUCGAAUGUGAAAACCCGAGGCUCAACUUCGGGCUUGCAUUCGAUACGGGCAGGCUCGAGUUCGGUAGGGGAGACUGGAAUUCCUGGUGUAGCGGUGAAAUGCGCAGAUAUCAGGAGGAACACCGGUGGCGAAGGCGGGUCUCUGGGCCGAUACUGACGCUGAGGAGCGAAAGCGUGGGGAGCGAACAGG